rnacentral:lncRNA from 1 species
GGCAGCUGCCUGGUACAGCACUGCGCCCUACCCAUGGAGCAUCUGAAAAAGUGGCAAUGCAUUCCUAUGCCCCUAGCACACUGGAUCUGUUGGUCACAUGGCCCGAGAAACAGAAUACCUGGAACCACAGCUUGGAUUUGCUGCCCACACUCAACACUGGUGGCUUUCUGAGGCAUCAGGGAACUGGGAGAGAAGUUUAUACUAUGUUGUCUUCAAAAUCUAAAGAAACUGCAGCAUGAUGUCUCUCUUUAAAAAAAAUUUAUAUGAUAGUUUUAUUGUUCAG